AUACGUAGGUCCCGAGCGUUGCGCGAAAUUACUGGGCGUAAAGAGCGCGUAGGCGGCUCAGUAAGUCAGAGGUGAAAUCCCCCGGCUCAACCGGGGAACUGCCUCUGAUACUGCUGAGCUAGAGUCCGGAAGAGGCUGGCGGAAUUCCCGGUGUAGCGGUGAAAUGCGUAGAUAUCCGGAGGAACACCGGUGGCGAAGGCGGCCAGCCAGGACGGUACUGACGCUGAGGCGCGAAAGCGUGGGGAGCAAACAGGAUUAGAAACCCUAGUAGUCC
rnacentral:rRNA from 1 species